AAUUUACAAUACUGUUAGGCUAUAAUGUCAUUCCUUAAGAGUCUUUUCCAGUAAACAUUUGUUACCUUUUCAAAGUAAUUGGGAGCUGUUGAGUUUGGAAGCGAAAACCAAGUUAAGAAGUCCUGUGAUUUGGAUGAGCUAUGGCGCGUACUAAGCAGACGGCUCGUAAAUCCACAGGCGGUAAAGCACCGCGCAAGCAGCUGGCCACUAAGGCAGCUCGCAAGAGCGCUCCGGCCACGGGCGGCGUGAAGAAGCCCCAUCGCUACCGCCCUGGUACCGUGGCUCUGCGCGAGAUCCGUCGUUACCAGAAGUCCACCGAGCUUCUAAUCCGGAAGCUGCCGUUUCAGCGCCUGGUGCGAGAAAUCGCUCAGGACUUCAAGACCGACCUGCGCUUCCAGAGUUCCGCGGUGAUGGCGCUGCAGGAGGCCUGCGAGGCCUACUUGGUGGGGCUUUUCGAGGACACCAACCUGUGCGCUAUCCAUGCCAAGCGCGUGACUAUCAUGCCUAAGGACAUCCAGCUUGCCCGCCGCAUUCGUGGGGAGAGGGCGUAAAUUGUUCUGAGUGCGAACCUUAAAUCCAAAGGCUCUUUUCAGAGCCAACCACUUUGUCCGUGAAAAAAGCUGUAAUCUUUUGAGACGCGUUAGACCACUAAACUGCACUGAUCCAAAUAGACACUUGAAAUAGUGGCAUUCAGUCCCCUCAAUGCUUCAUUUAAAUUUCCAAAUUUAAGCGCUUCCUCAGAUUUCGCCUGGGGCUGGGGCUCCCUACGCCGUUCUCCAUUUGUUUAGCUGGCUUUGUUUUGCUGUUAUGGCCCUCUGCUUCUUUUUCGUAUUUGUUCUCGUUUUCUAACUCCUGGCCACUUAAUUGUUCCCUGCUUAACCCACCCUCUUGUUUUCUGGCUCUUAACUCUCUUUCAAGUGGUGGCCUGCAUUUUAGGUCUUAACCGCAUAGGCUUUCAACGCCUUGGAUUUGCCUUUCCCUGAUAUUUAUUUGGCCUUGCCCGAGGGGCCAGCGCUUUUCGUCUGCAUCAGGCUGCCUUACUCCACAAGUGUUUUGAGACCCAGCUACUUGCCGGCGACGGUCGGCGCCUUGGGUGCGGUCAAGGUUACCCUCUCUGUGCGCCUGAUACUGGUCUAAAGCUAAGGUUAUUAGCUGGAACACCUAGACCCGUGGCAUUAACACACAGCUCUUGCAGACUUGACAGCCUUGCUUAGGUUCUAAACUGCAGGAGUCAAAGCAAAGAAGGUGCAGAUGGGUGCCUCUCAGACAGACCUGAGUGCGAAAGGAAAAUGCAGAAAUCAUAAGCCUUUUCAACUUUCCAGCUGAUAUCUUUUCUUUGCUUUUUUCUUUUCUUUUCUUUUUUCAUUUAUUUAUUUAUUUAUUUAUUUAUUUAUUUUGAGACGGAGUUUCGCCCUUGUUGCCCAGGCUGGAGUGCACUGGCGCGAUCUCGGCUCACCGCAACCUCCGCCUCCCGGGUUCAAGCGAUUCUCCUGCCUCAGCCUUCCGAGUAGCUGGGAUUACAGGCAUGAGCCACCUCGCCCGGCCUUCCGGCUGAUAUCUUAAAAGAACUUUUCACCUUUAGUAAAUACCCUGUCUUAAUCAAAUCUCAUUAAAGGUAUCCCAUAUUUAUCAACAAAACAUGAAAAUCCUUGGACGGCUUCAAAGUUCUUACAGAAAAUAUUCUGCCUUUCCUUUCCAUACAAAGGCACAGCUUCGAAACUGGUAGGUGAAGGGGAGGAAAAUAAGGAAUUCUGUUCCGAAAUCAUACAGGCUGUUAUUUGGAAAUACAGAAGGGUGUAUGUACUAUAUGGGAUACUACAUGCUAUUUGGAAGGAUUUUGUUUAUUUAAACAUUUCAGCAAAUUCCUCAGCUUUGAAAUGGGGUGGAGUAUUUUUAACUAUCAUUGAGAAAUUUCUAUUAACUUUUUUUAAUGUGCUCUUUUCCCGCAACUUGCACUAAGGAAAGAGGUUAGUCAUGUGGUAAAAUUAAUAGUGACAAAGCUGUAAAUAGCUCUGCAGGCCAAGGUAGCCAUAGUAAGAAGUCCUGGAGAUUUAUGGAAGAAAUUUUUGUUCAUGGAAGCCUGUCAGACAUGAAGACGUGGGUCUUGUGAAUUGGAGAUUCAGUGCAUGAGGAAAACAGCAUAACUAUCCAUAAUUAAGCUGUUGGACUUCAGUACGUGAGGACUUGGACUUGGUGGGCACAGAAUGCAUCUUUUUAUAUCAUUAAAUCCACCAGAACAUCUAACAUGGUCAUUUGCCUAAAACAAAGCCUCUGGAAAUUUAGUCAAGUUGAGAUUUAAAAUAAAAGAUUACUGAACAGAA